UUUUGUCUAUCACUCUUUGCUUAUCCCCUUUGUUUUAAGAAAGACAAAAUGAUUCGGCAUAUAUUCUUAAUCAAUUUAGAUGCCACCCAUCAAAACCAGGCCACCAAUAUAAUAAAGUGUUUUUAAUAGGAAACAAAGAGAGUUUGAAGGUGGAGCGGGAAGUCGGGUAUGAUGAUCUUUACGACCAAGUCUUGGAGUUCUACCGUAGUAAAUACUGCAGAAAGGUGAUGAAGUUAGUAGAUAUAGGAGGAGGUAGGUUUUUAUACUAGAUCUAUUAAAGUUUCAUUCUUACCAAUUCAUCAUGUUGUAUAUUUAAAAUUAUCAUAUUUAGUACAUAAUGAACAUAUAUAUUGUCCUUA